rnacentral:rRNA from 1 species
GUUGAUCCUGCCGGACCUGACUGCUAUCGGAUUGGUACUAAGCCAUGCGAGUCGUUGUAGCAAUACAAGGCGGACUGCUCAGUACACAUAGUUGACUUAACCUAUGGAUGGGCAUAACCUCGGGAAACUGAGAAUAAUACCCAAUGGACCACAGUGCCUGGAAUGGCCUGUGGUUGAAAUGAUUUAUCGCCGUAGGAUAGGACUGCGGCCUAUCAGCUUGUUGGUGAGGUAAUGGCCCACCAAGGCUAUAACAGGUACGGGCUCUGAGAGGAGAAGCCCGGAGAUGGGUACUGAGACACGGACCCAGGCCCUAUGGGGCGCAGCAGGCGAGAAACCUUAGCAAUGUGCGAAAGCACGACUGGGUCAGUCCGAGUGAUUUCUGAUAAAGGAGUCUUUUGCCCGUCCUAAAAGCACGGGCGAAUAAGGGGUGGGCAAGUCUGGUGUCAGCCGCCGCGGUAAUACCAGCACCUCGAGUGGUCAGGACGAUUAUUGGGCCUAAAGCAUCCGUAGCUGGUCUUGCAAGUCUCCGGUUAAAUCCACCUGCUCAACAGAUGGGCCGCUGGAGAUACUACAAGACUAGGGAGUGGGAGAGGCAGACGGUACUCGGGGGGUAGGGGUAAAAUCUCU